rnacentral:lncRNA from 1 species
GAGUUUCUGUGAUGCUAGAAUCUGGACUGCCUGCGACCUCUCCGGGACUCGGACACCAGCCCUCGCCUCCUGGUGAUCUUUUAGGUCCUGCAGAGAAGCGAAGAGGUCUCGCUCUGUCACCCAGGCUGGAGUGAAAUGGCACAAUAUUGGCUCACUGUAACCUCCGCCCCCAGGUUCGACUGAUUCUCGUGCCUCAGCCUCCUCAGUAGCUGGGAUUACAGGAUGGAGAGUAAAGGAGGACUCUGAUGCCUCAGCCAUGCGCCUGUGUGCCGAUUCCCAUUAAGCCUGCACCAAUUUGAUUUCCAAGACUCCAGUCAAUCCUCAGAGCUCCAGGAGGGGAGGGGCAGCUUUUCCUGGUAGCUGCUGAUCACCAGCAGAGGGAGCCCUAGGACUGCAGGGCCUCUUUCCUUACCGUUGGUGAAGCCGUUCACUGUGGCUUCAAAACUGUGGAAGACCCGGGAUUUGUGGAUCACUUGCCUUUAGAAUAGAAUCAAGAAAUAAAGCUGCAGAAGAAAGAAUCUCCAUGUGAUGAGGCCCAGAGAGGCGAAGCCACUUGAGCUCGUGAGUGACAGUCAGAUCUCAAGCCCUGCUCUUUCUAAAGCGUGCUGCCUUCAGAAAAGAAGAGCCAGAAGGAUGGAAAUUACUUUAGAAAGAUAAAUACCAGCUUUGAAGGAAUAAAAGCUGAC